CCCCACCCCUCCUCCCCACCCCUCUCUCCUCCCUCUCGCCGCUCUUUUCCUCCCUCCCUCUCUCUCUCUCUCUGCUGGCCUUAUCGGAGAGAGUUGCAGUUCCUUCUGGGCCUGUGUGGACUAGGGGCACAACGCGGCGCCUGACUGGCAGGAGGGGAAAGCGGAGACUCCUUCAGGUUUCCAAAGAGGUCCGAGCGGACAGCAUUAGGAAAUCUUGAAGAGUCUUACACUUUUAAUCCUCCAGUCGUUGACUGCGCUAUGAGGACAUUGUGGUGAGGUGGUGGGAGUAAAAAGCAACUGCUUUGCUUGCCCUUUACAAUCCAGUUGAGAAUUUUACUGACAGAAUGUCGGCACCAGCUGUGGAAGAACUGAUCAGCCUCAACUCUGAAUCUCUAUCCUGAGACAAAACAACAGGAUGUGCCUUGGAGAAGAAUCUCAGGAUAGAGCAUUUUUGACUGAGUUCCAAACCUGCAAGCUCAGGGUUCUGUUGGUCUGCAAGUAAGCUGGGGAAUACAAGGAGUUGAAAUUCACAAAGUUGAGGUAGGAAACUCA